UACGUAGGGGGCAAGCGUUGUCCGGAAUCAUUGGGCGUAAAGAGCGUGUAGGCGGCCCGGUAAGUCCGCUGUGAAAGUCCAGGGCUCAACCCUGGGAUGCCGAUCGAUACUGCCGGACUAGAGUCCGGAAGAGGCGAGUGGAAUUCCUGGUGUAGCGGUGGAAUGCGCAGAUAUCAGGAGGAACACCAAUAGCGAAGGCAGGUCUCUGGGCUGACACUGACGCUCAUGCACGAAAGCGUGGGGAGCAAACAGG
rnacentral:rRNA from 1 species